GAUGAACGCUGGCGGCGUGCCUAAUACAUGCCAGUCGAGCGAACAGUCGAGGAGCUUGCUCCUCUGACGUUAGCGGCGGACGGGUGAGUAACACGUGGAUAACCUACCUAUAAGACUGGGAUAACUUCGGGAAACCGGAGCUAAUACCGGAUAAUAUAUUGAACCGCAUGGUUCAAUAGUGAAAGACGGUUUUGCUGUCACUUAUAGAUGGAUCCGCGCCGCAUUAGCUAGUUGGUAAGGUAACGGCUUACCAAGGCAACGAUGCGUAGCCGACCUGAGAGGGUGAUCGGCCACACUGGAACUGAGACACGGUCCAGACUCCUACGGGAGGCAGCAGUAGGGAAUCUUCCGCAAUGGGCGAAAGCCUGACGGAGCAACGCCGCGUGAGUGAUGAAGGUCUUCGGAUCGUAAAACUCUGUUAUUAGGGAAGAACAAAUGUGUAAGUAACUAUGCACGUCUUGACGGUACCUAAUCAGAAAGCCACGGCUAACUACGUG
rnacentral:rRNA from 1 species